rnacentral:rRNA from 1 species
AUUGAACGCUAGCGGCAGGCCUAACACAUGCAAGUCGAAUGAGUGGCGGACGGGUGAGUAAUGUCUCGGAACCUGCCUGGUGGCGGGGGAUAACUACUCGAAACGGUAGCUAAUACCGCAUACCAUCAGAGCGGCCGAUAUGGGAUUAGCUUGUUGGUGGGGUAAAGGCUCACCAAGGCAACGAUCCGUAGCUGGUCUGAGAGGAUGACCAGCCACACUGGAACUGAGACACGGUCCAGACUCCUACGGGAGGCAGCAGUGGGGAAUUUGGCACAAUGGGCGAAACCCUGAUGCAGCCAUGCCGCGUGUAUGAAGAAGGCCUUCGGGUUGUAAAGUACUUUUAGCAGGGAGGCGUUACCCGCAGAAGAAGCACCGGCUAACUCCGUGCCAGCAGCCGCGGUAAUAC